rnacentral:lncRNA from 1 species
AAAAAAUUUGUCCUCAUUCUAUCCUGACCAAGUCUUAUUAGCCCAAAAUGAUCAAAAUAGUUAAAAAAAGCAAUUAUUUAAUUCAUAACUUCCAAAAAGCAAAAUAACCAAACAGGCCUUUAGAACUGUAAUAACAAUUGACUUCCUAUGUCCCACUGUUGAAACGGGUUCGGUGACAAAUAAAACUUCUGAGAAAUCUAAAGUGCCACUUAACGGUUGAAAAUCAACAAAUAAAUACACGCAAAGCGUGAAGAAUGCCAUUAAUAUUCUUCUUCACACGUAGCUUUCAAUCUCAUGAAUUUUAUGAAACUUUAUUACAUUCUUCCCGUAAUCUUCGCCGACAUUCACCAUCCUAUUAAACCUUCCACUGUUAGAAGAUGGCUAAUGGCUAGACUACAAAUUAAGGUGACCCAUUAGUGCUUAGUCCACUUUCUCCCAGAAAAAAUCUACAAUACACUGUUCCCAUUUUCAAUACAUGGCUUGAUUGUGUUUAUGACCACCAUCAAAUUUUUUGUGCUCAAAACCCACUUUAGUUAUGUGAGCGAGCCUGUUUACAGAACAAUGUUUAGGUUUUGUAGCAGUUUCUUGAUUUCUGUAUAUAGGUUCUUGCUCAA